UUUAGAAAACAUAUGCAGAGCUGAGUACUAAAAAGGUACUCAAUGGUCACAUGCCAAAAUAACUUGAAAGCUUGCUCUUAGAGCUAUAUAUUGAACUUGUCAUCUCAAGCAUCACACAGGAGUUUUAUUUAAAUAAACUGUAAAAUAUCUCUAUAAUAAUCAUAAACUUCAUAUGUGUCUGCAGACAUACUUCUUUGUACUCUACCAUAUCUGCAAUGAUAACUGUGUGUCGAGAAAGUGGCCAUCUUCUACGGUCACUGACCGGCCGAUACGCUAAACCGGCUCACGGUCCUAGACCGGCCGAUACGCUAAACCGGCUCACGGACCUAGACCGGCCAAUACGCUAAACCGACUCACGGUCCUAGGCCGGCCGAUACGCUAAAUCGGCUCACGGCCCUAGACCGGCCGAUACGCUAAACCGGCUCACGGUCCUAGACCGACCGAUACGCUAAACCGGCUCACGGUCCUAGGCCGGCCGAUAUGUUAGAUCGGCUCACGGUCCCUUGUGUAUACUAAUCCUGUCUAACAUCUGGAUAGAACAUGAUCCGAAUUCGAUUAACUUCUGGUGCCAGAUAGGUAUCAUACAAGCUCAUAAUUUUUUGGCAAGUCAAUAACUUUAAUAUAACUUCAUUCAUAUAAACAUCAUGAAAUAGUGUGCACUUCAUAUUUUGAGUUUAGAAAGCCCACUUGAUAUGCUUAAUGAAGUAGAAAUCCUUGCUUGUUCACUUUAUAAAGCCACUCGAACCUUCAUUAUAAUGAGGUUCCCAAGGUAAGAUUGUAUAGAUAGACAAGAAAUAAAUAGAAAAGAAUUCCUAAUUGAAACUUAUAUCUCUUGAAACUUUAGGGUUGCUUCCUCUAAUCAAAGUAAUCUAUUUUUUCUGAACUUAACUUAUUAAAAGAAUACUAACAUAUUACCUAAACCACAACUUAUACUAUGAUAAUUGUUACUCUGGCGUUAAUCAUAACUUCGCUCACACUAAUUAAAAUAAUUCUACAUGUCUAAGCUAUUUAAUAAAUCAAACUAAUUAUUAGCUAAUAGCUAAUAAUCCUUUAUACAUAUUUACUAGGCUCAAAAUAAUAUAAACUCAACUUGAUUAAUAAUUAAGGCGUAACUGUAUAUUAAAAUCAUCACUAAAUUAAUAAAUAAGCCCAACAACUAUCUCAUGCUAUCUAAACCCAUUAGAAAUAUUAAUAGGCCCAUCAGAAUUUCAGGCCCAAGUAUUUUGUAAGCCCAAUCAGAUUAAUACAUCUCUCUCUCAUUUCUUCUCUUUUCCUCACGCAGGCUCAAACCCUCUCUUUCCCUUCACCCCCUCUCUCAGCCUUCUCUCUCCCUCUGCCUUCUCUCUCCCUCUCUACUUCUCCGGCGAACAUCGCCGGCUCUCGCCGCUUCCGGCGCGGCGAGGCUGACGCAUCUUCUCCCCUUCCGCUUUCUUCCCUCUCCUUUCUAUAUUUAAUUCCCCAAAUUCUAAAAUCAAUUCAACCUAGGGUUUUCAAUCUCCCCCAUCAAUUGUACUCCUCUGGCGAGUCCCGGCGAAUAACGUCGCCGCCGACCCAGCUCGUCGGAUUUCUGUUCCUCCGUCGUUCUUCCUGCUUCAGGAAUCGAUGAUUCAAGGGAUCUCCAGUUCGUCUACUGCUCAAGAUCCAAGUUUUAUAUGUUAUAAACCUAUUUUCCUUUAUUGCUUAUUGUAAAACUGAGAUUUGAUGGUGAGGAAACAAUACUGUAUCGUUACUAUGCUUAUGUGUAGCUAUUACUAUGCUUAUGUGUA